UACGUAGGGGGCAAGCGUUGUCCGGAAUCAUUGGGCGUAAAGCGCGUGUAGGCGGCUCGGUAAGUCUGCUGUGAAAGUCCAGGGCUCAACCCUGGGAUGCCGGUGGAUACUGUCGAGCUCGAGUCCGGAAGAGGCGAGUGGAAUUCCUGGUGUAGCGGUGAAAUGCGCAGAUAUCAGGAGGAACACCAAUGGCGAAGGCAGCUCGCUGGGACGGUACUGACGCUAAGGCGCGAAAGCGUGGGGAGCAAACAGG
rnacentral:rRNA from 1 species